ACGGGAGGCAGCAGUGGGGAAUAUUGGGCAAUGGACGAAAGUCUGACCCAGCGACGCCGCGUGAGGGAAGAAGGUCUUCGGAUUGUAAACCUUAGUCAACAGGGAAGAAGAAAGUGACGGUACCUGUGGAGGAAGCCACGGCUAACUACGUGCCAGCAGCCGCGGUAAUACGUAGGUGGCGAGCGUUAUCCGGAAUUACUGGGUGUAAAGGGUGUGUAGGCGGGUUUUCAAGUCAGAUGUGAAAACUAUCGGCUCAACUGAUAGCCUGCAUUUGAAACUGAAGAUCUUGAGUGUGGGAGAGGUAAGCGGAAUUCCUAGUGUAGCGGUGAAAUGCGUAGAUAUUAGGAGGAACACCAGUGGCGAAGGCGGCUUACUGGACGAUAACUGACGCUGAGGCUCGAAAGCGUGGGGAGCAAACAGGAUUAGAUACCCUGGUA
rnacentral:rRNA from 1 species